rnacentral:rRNA from 1 species
UUAAAAAGCUCGUAGUCGGAUUUUGGCUGAGAACGGUCGGUCCGCCGUUAGGUGUGCACUGACUGGUCUCAGCUUCCUGGUGAGGAGGUGUGCUUCAUCGCCACUUAGUCACCGUGGUUACUUUGAAAAAAUUAGAGUGUUCAAAGCGGGCUUACGCUUGAAUAUAUUAGCAUGGAAUAACACCAUAGGACUCCUGUCCUAUUUCGUUGGUCUCGGGACGGGAGUAAUGAUUAAGAGGAACAGUUGGGGGCAUUCGUAUUUCAUUGUCAGAGGUGUAAUUCUUGGAUUUAUGAAAGACGAACUUCUGCGAAAGCAUUUGCCAAGGAUGUUUUCAUUGAUCAAGAACGAAAGUUGGGGGCCCGAAGAUGAUUAGAUACCAUCCUAGUCUCAACCAUAAACGAUGCCGACUAGGGAUUGGCGGAUGUUAAUUGAUGACUUCGCCAGCACCUUAUGAGAAAUCAAAGUUUUUGGGUUCCGGGGGGAGUAUGGUCGCAAGGCUGAAACUUAAAGGAAUUGACGGAAGGGCACCACCAGGCGUGGAGCCUGCGGCUUAAUUUGACUCAACACGGGGAAACUUACCAGGUCCAGACAUAGUAAGGAUUGACAGAUUGAGAGCUCUUUCUUGA